rnacentral:snRNA from 1 species
AAAGUUACCUGGCAGGGGAGAUACCAUGAUCACGAAGGUAGUUUUCCCAGGGCGAGGCUUAACCAUUGCACUCUGGAUGUGCUGACCCCUGCAAUUUCCCCAAAUGCGGGAAACUCCACUGCAUAAUUUGUGGUAAUGGUGGACUGCGUUCGCGCUCUCCGCUG